UACGAAGGGGGGCUAGCGUUGUUCGGAUUUACUGGGCGUAAAGCGCACGUAGGCGGAUCGAUCAGUCAGGGGUGAAAUCCCAGAGCUCAACUCUGGAACUGCCUUUGAUACUGUCGAUCUGGAGUAUGGAAGAGGUGAGUGGAAUUCCGAGUGUAGAGGUGAAAUUCGUAGAUAUUCGGAGGAACACCGGUGGCGAAGGCGGCAUC
rnacentral:rRNA from 1 species